rnacentral:rRNA from 1 species
UACCAGCACCCCGAGUGGUCGGGACGUUUAUUGGGCCUAAAGCAUCCGUAGCCGGUUCUGCAAGUCUUCCGUUAAAUCCACCUGCUUAACAGAUGGGCCGCGGAAGAUACUAUAGAGCUAGGAGGCGGGAGAGGCAAGCGGUACUCGAUGGGUAGGGGUAAAAUCCGUUGAUCCAUUGAAGACCACCAGUGGCGAAGGCGGCUUGCCAGAACGCGAUCGACGGUGAGGGAUGAAAGCUGGGGGAGCAAACCGG